UACGGGGGGGGCAAGCGUUGUUCGGAAUUACUGGGCGUAAAGGGCUCGUAGGCGGCCAACUAAGUCAGACGUGAAAUCCCUCGGCUUAACCGGGGAACUGCGUCUGAUACUGGAUGGCUUGAGUUUGGGAGAGGGAUGCGGAAUUCCAGGUGUAGCGGUGAAAUGCGUAGAUAUCUGGAGGAACACCGGUGGCGAAGGCGCCUAUCUGGCCCGAUACUGACGCUGAGGCGCGAAAGCUAGGGGAGCAAACGGG
rnacentral:rRNA from 1 species